rnacentral:rRNA from 1 species
AAUUUUGGACAAUGGGGGCAACCCUGAUCCAGCCAUCCCGCGUGUGCUAUUAAGGCCUUUGUGAUGUAAAGCACCUUUUGCAGGGGAGAAAAGGCUCUGGCUAAUCUCUGUAGUUGCUGACGGUACCUGACGAAUAAGCACCGGCUAACUACGUUCCAGCAGCCGCGGUAAUACGUAGGGUGCAAGCGUUAAUCGGAAUUACUGGGCGUAAAGCGUGCGCAGGCGGUUCGGCAAGAAGGAUGUGAAAUCCCAGGGCUUAACCUUGGAACUGCAUUCUUAACUGCCGGGCUAGAGUAUAUCAGAGGGAGGUAGAAUUCCGCGUGUAGCAGUGAAAUGCGUAGAGAUGCGGAGGAAUACCGAUGGCGAAGGCAGCCCCCUGGGAUAAUACUGACGCUCAUGCACGAAAGCGUGGGGAGCAAAC